rnacentral:rRNA from 1 species
UUCCAUCCGAGUCAGAUUUUUGGUGAUCCGACUGAUCGAAUACCAAUAGAAGAUUAUGUCCCUGAAAUUCAAAGUGAACUGAGAAGAGCUUAUUUGUUGAAAGGAAGAAACAAAGCUAGCGGGCACAAAUUUGAAGUGGGAUUGGAAGGUAAAAUUUGGAGAUCUUUUCAACCCCAAUGGCUAGAUAGGUUCGAUUGGUUGGAAUAUAGUGAGAAAAAGGAGGCUGCCUUUUGUUUCCCUUGUGGAUACAAACGUUGGAAAACAGCUUUGGCAAAUUUUCAGAAACAUGUUGGUGGUCCAUCUAGUUACCACAACAUCGCUAAGGGCUUGAGUGAUGAUUUCAACAAUCAAAGGGCCAAUGUGGGUACCAAACUCCGAGUUUACAAUAAAGAGGUUGAAAUAAAAUAUAAAAUCCGCUUGACUGCAUCAUUGGAUUGUGCAAGGUAUCUCAUAGCUCAAGGGGAAGCUUUUCGUGGACAUGACGAGUCCUCCAAUUCCAUCAACAAAGGCAAUUUCAGGGAGUUCUUGGAUUGGUACAAGGACAAGAAUAAAGAUGUGAAAGAUGCAUUUGAUAAGGGGCAAGGUAAUGCACUAAUGAUAUGUUCAGAUAUUCAAAAGGACCUUGCUACAUGUUGUGCAAUGGAGGUAACCAAAGUCAUCAAGAAUGAGGUUGGAGAUAAGAAAUUUUCGAUACUUGUUGAUGAGGCUAGAGAUUGCUCAAUAAAGGAGCAAAUGGCAAUGAUUUUGAGAUUUUUGGAUGAUCAUGGGGAGCUUCAGGAGAGAUUUCUUGCUAUUAAGCACAUCACAGAUUGUACAUCAGCCUGAAUUAAAGAAGCAUUGCUUGGUGUGUUAAAGUACCAUGUCUUGCCUAUUAAUAGGAUCCGUGGACAGGGUUAUGAUGGGGCUUCAAAUAUGAGAGGAGAAUUCAAUGGUUUGCAAAAGCUAAUUCGUGACGAGUGUCCAUAUGCUUUCUUUGUUCAUUGUUUUGCUCAUCAGUUGCAAUUGGUGGUUGUCACAGUGGCUCAGUGUUGUCCAACAAUGUGGAAUGCAGUGGUGGAUGUGCUAGCAAUUGUGGUGGACGAUGCCCGAGAACACUCUUCUCAAGGUGGAGCUUCAGGUUUGAUUGUACAAAUGGAAUGCUUUCAAUUUGUGUUCAUCAUGCUAUUCUUGAUAAACUUGUUGAACAUCACAAAUAUGCUAUCACAAACUUUGCAAAGGAAGAAUCAAGACGUUGUUGAAGCCCUUCGUUUGAUCUUGGAUGUGAAAGAAGCUUUGCAAAAUAUGAGGGACAAUGGGUAUGAGUCAUUAUGUGACCAAGCAAAUAACUUUUGUGAGGAACAUGGCAUUGAGGUGCCAAAUAUGGAUGAUCUUGUUGGAGCUAUGGGGCAAUCUGUUCGUUCCAAGAAUAAGGUGACUCGACAUCAUUAUUUCAAGGUUAGCAUAUUCAAUGUUGCUAUUGAUGCAACUCCCACUGAGAUGAAUCAUCGAUUCAAUGAAGCUAACACCGAGUUAGUGGAUUUCAUGUCUUGUCUUAAUCCGGCAAACAACUUCUCAAAGUUUAACAUUGACAAGCUUAUACAGCUUGCUGAAAUUUAUGUUGGUUUUACACAAGCUGAACAGUUGUUGCUAAGAUAUGAGCUUCCAACAUUCCUUACAAAUAUUAGGAGAAGUGAGGAAUUUAAUGCAUGUCCAGAUGUUUCUACCCUUGCUCGGUUGAUGGUUCAAACAACAAAACAUAGAACUUUCCAAUUGGUAUAUCGCCUCAUCGAGUUGACAUUGAUUCUUCCAGUGGCAACUUCAUCGGCCGAGAGGAUAUUUUCAGCAAUGAAGAUCAUCAAAACUGAUUUGCGCAAUAAGAUAUCAGAUGAUUAGCUUACUGAUUUAAUGGUUUGCUAUUGUGAGAAAAGGAUAUUCAGAAGUAUUCCCGAUGAUCAAAUUAUGAUACGAUUCCAAAAAAAGAAACAUCAGAAAGGACAUUUGCCUCCUGAGUAUAAUGUGAUUUCUUAG